CUGCGGCAGCGACACUGUGUGUUGUUGGGUAGGGGAGCGUUCUGUAAGCCUGCGAAGGUGGCCUGUGAGGGUUGCUGGAGGUAUCAGAAGUGCGAAUGCUGACAUAAGUAACGAUAAAGCGGGUGAAAAGCCCGCUCGCCGGAAGACCAAGGGUUCCUGUCCAACGUUAAUCGGGGCAGGGUGAGUCGACCCCUAAGGCGAGGCCGAAAGGCGUAGUCGAUGGGAAACGGGUUAAUAUUCCCGUACUUGGUGUUACUGCGAAGGGGGGACGGAGAAGGCUAUGUUGGCCGGGCGACGGUUGUCCCGGUUUAAGCGUGUAGGUGUGUGUUCCAGGUAAAUCCGGUUCACUUUAACACUGAGGCGUGACGACGAGGCACUACGGUGCUGAAGCAACAAAUGCCCUGCUUCCAGGAAAAGCCUCUAAGCAUCAGGUAACAUCAAAUCGUACCCCAAACCGACACAGGUGGUCAGGUAGAGAAUACCAAGGCGCUUGAGAGAACUCGGGUGAAGGAACUAGGCAAAAUGGUGCCGUAACUUCGGGAGAAGGCACGCUGACACGUAGGUGAAGUGAUUUACUCAUGGAGCUGAAGUCAGUCGAAGAUACCAGCUGGCUGCAACUGUUUAUUAAAAACACAGCACUGUGCAAACACGAAAGUGGACGUAUACGGUGUGACGCCUGCCCGGUGCCGGAAGGUUAAUUGAUGGGGUCAGCGCAAGCGAAGCUCCUGAUCGAAGCCCCGGUAAACGGCGGCCGUAACUAUAACGGUCCUAAGGUAGCGAAAUUCCUUGUCGGGUAAGUUCCGACCUGCACGAAUGGCGUAAUGAUGGCCAGGCUGUCUCCACCCGAGACUCAGUGAAAUUGAACUCGCUGUGAAGAUGCAGUGUACCCGCGGCAAGACGGAAAGACCCCGUGAACCUUUACUAUAGCUUGACACUGAACAUUGAGCCUUGAUGUGUAGGAUAGGUGGGAGGCUUUGAAGUGUGGA
rnacentral:rRNA from 1 species